AAGAAUCUUUUUCUUCAAGGUAAAUCCCUGCAAACCUCUUUUUAUUUUGGAUCUUCUUUCUCCCUCCAUUAUAGUUAUGUCCAGAACUAGGGGUGGCAGUCGGGUAAUUCUUAGUUAUCCACCAUGACAGCGCGAGACAAGAGUUCCCAUUGAAGCCAAUUCUUAAGCCUGCACCACAAAGAUUGAGGAAAUGAUUCGAGCCCUAGCGGUGUGAGGAACCCAAAUUCCCAAUUUUGCGUACAAUUUUUCGAUCCCUGUGGGAUCGCACUGACUAAGCUACUGAAUUUAAACAAGCUGUUGAUAACUGUAGCACUGAAUUGUGAGUUUCAACUCCAUUAACACCAUGUCCAAAUUCAAACCAUUUCAGCAAGUCAAAUUCACUCCCCCAAUGUAAAAUUUGAUGCUCCUUACAGUAUAUCAAGGCCAUCCAAUUUUACAAAAAAAAAAAUUUUAUUUUAAUCUUUCAUUUAAAUUUUCAUAAUUUUUAGUUCUUAAACCUUUUUUUUUUUGUACAAUUGAAGGACCAAAUAAAUUGUUAUGCCUUUUUUAUUUUGAUAUACUUCAACAAGCAUCAAUCAUCAUAUUACUAGUUAAAGGUUUAUUUGAAAUACAAUAAAAAUAGAUGGACUUAAUUAGAUAAA
rnacentral:lncRNA from 1 species